rnacentral:rRNA from 1 species
GAUGAACGCUGGCGGCGUGCCUAAUACAUGCAAGUCGAGCGAACAGACGAGGAGCUUGCUCCUCUGACGUUAGCGGCGGACGGGGGAGUAACACGUGGAUAACCUACCUAUAAGACUGGGAUAACUUCGGGAAACCGGAGCUAAUACCGGAUAAUAUAUUGAACCGCAUGGUUCAAUAGUGAAAGACGGUUUUGCUGUCACUUAUAGAUGGAUCCGCGCCGCAUUAGCUGGUUGGUAAGGUAACGGCUUACCAAGGCGACGAUGCGUAGCCGACCUGAGGGGGAUCGGCCACACUGGAACUGAGGCGAGGUCCAGACUCCUACGGGAGGCAGCAGUAGGGAAUCUUCCGCAAUGGGCGAAAGCCUGACGGAGCAACGCCGCGUGAGUGAUGAAGGUCUUCGGAUCGUAAAACUCUGUUAUUGGGGAAGAACAAAUGUGUAAGUAACUAUGCACGUCUUGACGGUACCUAAUCAGAAAGCCACGGCUAACUACGUG